ensembl:lncRNA
AGACUGGUGCUGUUGGAAGUGCUGGUGGCACCCGCAGCUUCGCUCCGGCAGCGGGACACGGAUCGGGCACCCAGCUGGUGCCCUCAGCUCGGCACUUUGCACCCCCAGCAACUCAUCCUGAAGCCAUUCCUGCCCUUCCCACGAAGACAUUUAUCCAUGGAGGCACUCACCGGAUCCACAGCUCCUUCCCCACAUCCUCCAGAGCGUCUGAGACUGGGAGAGGGAACAUCCAGGGCUGGAAACAGGGAAUCACCUAUGGAAGAAGCAGCACCGGGAAUGCUGAAAGCAGGAGAAGAGUGGGAUUUCUGCCCCUUUGCUCCCAGGUUUAUGCCGGUGAGAUUUGGGCCGCAGGGUGGGAAUGAUCCAUGGCUUUGUGUCCCUCCAAUCACAGGUAGGUUGCUCCACCACAGGGAUUCAUCCCUGUGCUUUCCACACUUCUCCUUCCACAGUCAUUUGAUGGCAAGGGGUCAGGAUCAGUUUCCCUGGGAAACCCCAGCCCCAUCCAGCACAGUUUCUGUGGGAAAGUCAUGAACUCUUUGAUAUUGAGGAUUAAUGAGAAUGACAGGGGGAAUGUAGGAUGACAGCAGAAACCUUGGCUUCAGCAUCCUUCCCUGGGCUGCAGGAAUUAUCCAGGUAGAGCAAGGGACAGAUAAAAAUCCAUGAGCCAGAGAAAGCUUAGGAUUUCCCCUAAUUUCAGUCUCACUUUCCCUCUGCCCAGAGCCCCUUACUUCCCAGGCACAGGAGCAUCCCCCUGGAGCAAAUUCCCCACGCACCAAUUCCCAAAGCCACCCAUGGAUGCCCUGCCAUGGGAUCCCUCCAUGGACCCCAGACCAGACCAAAUCCAUCCCACAUCCUACCUGGCCUCUCCCCGCUGCAGCUCCCAGCCCGGGAUGUGCUGAGGAUUUAUAUGGCUCCGUCCCUCCCGCCAGGAUGUGGGGAAGGAGAUUUUCCCAUGGCCAGGGGCUCUUCCACUUCCCCCAUUGGGAAAGGAUCAGAGAAUUUUUUCUCAUCAGAAAGAGCUUUUGCUGGGAAAGGUCUUGUUUCCCAGGACCUGGAGCCAAAUCCAUGGAGACUGUUGGCUGAGGAGCUUGGGAAGGGGAUGAGAUAUCCCAGAAUGGGAGUGGGAGGCUCUUUCAUCCAGGGAAUGCAUCCCGAAGCUCUCAGGCACCUGGAUAUUCUUCCAGCCUGGAAAGCCCCAUUUUACCCCCAUUCCCAUCUAAAAGAAGCCAUGACCUCCCAGCAAAUCCCCUAGGAAAGGCUCUGGCUGCAUGAGAGGGAUGGAAAUCACCCCCACUCCCCAGGGAACAGCUCCAGAGGUGCUCAUACACCCUGAGUCCUUUCCCUCCCAGCUAAGGGACCUUUUCCCUCUCUCCUGCAGCACAGGGGUGGCUGUCACCCUGCUGGUCUCCCCACUUUGGGUUUUUCCCGCUACAUUUCUGUUCCGUGUGCUUUGGAGCUGCUGUAUUUUGGGGAAACAAUGCACCCCAUGGUCAGCUCAGGGCAGGGCCGUGCUCCUGGAUCCAGCUGGAGCUUGGAGGUGACUCAGGGGCACGAGCAGCCCUGGGAGUGGUGACACAGCAGUGAGGGGGAGCCCCAGCCCCAGUGGUGGGGGGGUGACAUGAAAGGAAGAGGGAGCUCUGGGAACUUUUAAUCAGCCUUUUCCAAAUGCACACUAAUCAAACUUGGAUUUAUGACACCAGAGAGGCAGCUCAGAUAUAGAGAGGUUUUUGGCACUGAGUCCUCCAUGGCCAUGCGAUGGUCCAGCUAAACAGCACAACCUCAAUCCCUGUCUUCAGGACCUGCUAGUGGCUUUAACCCUUCCAGCACCAUCACUGCAGCACAAGGAAAAACCCAGCAGUGCCUGAGGGAGCUGACAUGGGAUGAUCAAUGGCUUGGCUCAGCUGAAGGAGGAAAACCACCUAAAACGAUCCCCUUUUGGUCCUCAUCUGCAGCUUUCACCCACUUCCCAUCCAGCUCCCUUGGCUGAGACUCCAGGGAUCACAAAUCUCUAAAUGAAUCCAGGAACUGUGGAAUUCUGGAGGCAUUGGAGCACCAUACUGGCUACAGUGGCACCAAAUGCUUGGCUAUUCCCCCAAAAAACUGGGAGAUGGAUGCUCCUCUUUGUUGCUUCCCACCCCUGGAGCUCCUCCCAGCACAGCACAAGCUGGUGGGAAAUGUCCUUCCUGGAAGAAACCACACCGUGAGCAUCCUAUGGGAAGGAGGAACAUGAGGAUUGGGAGUAUUUUCCACUGUGGUGGGAAAACAUUCAGCCUGCUCCCUUUCCACUUUUCCCCUGCCCACCUCCCCAUAUUGCCACAAAACAGGAAAAUGUGCUGGCAGUCAUUAGCAUCUCUCUGGAAAAUGCCAGGUUGCCAGCCCAGCUUCCAGAUCCAACUCUCCAGAAACCCCCAGAGUGGCUGCGAGCUUCAGGGAAAGCCAGAAUCAUGGUCAAAAAUCCCAUUUUCCUUCUAAAAAGAAAGGGGUGGAAACUGCUCCUGCUGGAUAUUCCCAGUGGGAUGGAGCUACUGCAGGAUGCAGAUCCUAAAGAAUCAUGUCACACCACUGCCUGCAUUACCUGCGGGGUUCAGCCACAUCCACUUGGGCAAUGCAACACCCAAAGGGAUCCCUCGGGAUAGCUGGAAUCCUAGGGGAUCCAGCUGCUCUGCUGGGCAGGCCGGCACCUGCCUUCCCGCAGAGCGAAAAACAAGUUGCUAAGUCACAGCAAAACCAUGAAAGCAAAACCACAGAGCCCCAAAGCACCUCUGAGUCACUCCCCGGCCGCCGCCACGGCCCCAGAGCCCUCCCAAAAUUUGCCGCCACCUGCAGCUGCUGAUCCAUGCUCCAAAGGGCUGCUCCAGAGGUGCUGGGAAGCAUUUUCUUGCAGGGAAAGCCUCUCUGAGUGCACACAGCCAUGGAUGGAGGAGCCGAGGUGACGACCAAGCCAACCUGGCAGCCCCCACUCAUCCUUUCUUUCCGUAACUUCACCUGGAUUUUUAUUGUUACUGAGCGAUGCCGAACACUCGCAAGGAUGGGGAUGGAGCCGAAGCCCGGGCAGACAGCGCUCCCGGGAUUAGUCACCGGCGGCAGCAGCACUGCUGACAUGAGUCACGGAGGUUUGGCCGCCCAGUAAACCCGGGAUUUUCAGGUUCCCAGCUCUGGGGUUGUCCUGGGGACACCCUUCUGUAACUGCUGCCGGGUCCUCUCAGCCGCCUCCCGGCACUGCUGCUUUGCCGUGGGAUUCCGCAGAGCUGGAAUGGCGGAAUCGGUCCCAUGUUUGCGUCCCGUUUUGUGCCUGAGGUGGGAAUUGCGACGGAGGCGUGGGAUGCAGCCGGGUGACAGCGGGGCUAUGCCGGUGGCCCCGGGGACGAUGCCGACAGAGGUCACUGUUGCCGAAAAGUUGCGAGCCCCAGCCAAAAAACCAAAGAGAACUCGGUGGGGAAGGCGGCGAUGGGGUCAGGCUGGAACAGGCACCGCGUCCCAGCUGCGGGACCUUCCCGGGAAUGAUGCACCGGGAAGCGCAGCCGGCACCGCGAUCCAUGCGAUGGGAUGAGCUGCCACCGAGGGACGUCCCAGGAGCCGCCCAGCCGGGACUGAAGACGGAUCAUGAGGCUAAUUCCCCCCUGGAGAGGGGAUUUGCUGCCGCCGGAUGAU